AUUGAACGCUGGCGGCAUGCCUUACACAUGCAAGUCGAACGGUAACAGGUCUUCGGAUGCUGACGAGUGGCGAACGGGUGAGUAAUACAUCGGAACGUGCCUAGUAGUGGGGGAUAACUACUCGAAAGAGUGGCUAAUACCGCAUGAGAUCUACGGAUGAAAGCAGGGGAUCGCAAGACCUUGUGCUACUAGAGCGGCCGAUGGCAGAUUAGGUAGUUGGUGGGAUAAAAGCUUACCAAGCCGACGAUCUGUAGCUGGUCUGAGAGGACGAUCAGGCACACUGGGACUGAGACACGGCCCAGACUCCGACGGGAGGCAGCAGUGGGGAAUUUUGGACAAUGGGCGAAAGCCUGAUCCAGCAAUGCCGCGUGCAGGAUGAAGGCCUUCGGGUUGUAAACUGCUUUUGUACGGAACGAAAAGCCCCGGGUUAAUACCCUGGGGUCAUGACGGUACCGUAAGAAUAAGCACCGGCUAACUACGUGCCAGCAGCCGCUGUAA
rnacentral:rRNA from 1 species